rnacentral:hammerhead_ribozyme from 1 species
AUCCAGCUGACGCGUCCCAAGUAGGACGAAACGCGCGUCGUGGAU